CUGAAAUUCAUCUGAAACCCUAGAAAGUCAACCAAGGUCAACUGUGCAUUGAACCAUGGAUUUGAAGGUGGGAGAGGGAUAGAUAGGCCUCAUUCAUGUCCAUACAAGUCUCAUUUGACAUUUCAAACAUCAACAAUGGAGAAUUUGAGGUCGGAUGAAAAGUUUCCAAAAAUAGUAAGUGACCUAUAAUUUCAAACUGCCAAAAAUGGAAAGGUCUUCUCCUUAACUUUACAUCAUCAAGAAAGCUUCAAAUGAAAUUUUG
rnacentral:lncRNA from 1 species